rnacentral:rRNA from 1 species
CCUACGGGAGGCAGCAGUGGGGGAUAUUGCACAAUGGGGGGAACCCUGAUGCAGCGACGCCGCGUGGGUGAAGAAGCGCCUCGGCGCGUAAAGCCCUGUCAGCAGGGAAGAAAAUGACGGUAACUGAAGAAGAAGCCCCGGCUAACUACGUGCCAGCAGCCGCGGUAAUACGUAGGGGGCAAGCGUUAUCCGGAUUUACUGGGUGGAAAGGGGGCGCAGACGGCGAUGCAAGCCAGGAGUGAAAGCCCGGGGCCCAACCCCGGGACUGCUCUUGGAACUGCGUGGCUGGAGUGCAGGAGGGGCAGGCGGAAUUCCUGGUGUAGCGGUGAAAUGCGUAGAUAUCAGGAGGAACACCGGUGGCGAAGGCGGCCUGCUGGACUGCAACUGACGUUGAGGCCCGAAAGCGUGGGGAGCAAACAGGAUUAGAUACCCUAGUAGUC